rnacentral:rRNA from 1 species
UACGGGGGGGGCAAGCGUUGUUCGGAAUUACUGGGCGUAAAGCGCACGUAGGCGGACUCUUAAGUCAGGGGUGAAAUCCUGGAGCUCAACUCCAGAACUGCCUUUGAUACUGGGAGUCUUGAGUUCGGGAGAGGUGAGUGGAACUGCGAGUGUAGAGGUGAAAUUCGUAGAUAUUCGCAAGAACACCAGUGGCGAAGGCGGCUCACUGGCCCGAUACUGACGCUGAGGUGCGAAAGCGUGGGGAGCAAACAGG